AAUUUGCGUUAGGGAUUGAAGCGGCAUCCUUUUUUGAAGUGCUGAGCCCAGAGCCUGUCGAAGGGUCGAAGCACACAAAAAAGAUAUAGCGGAAAGCCCGACCAUCG
rnacentral:sRNA from 1 species